rnacentral:lncRNA from 1 species
CCGCUCCUCCACGCGGCUUCCUGGGCCCUGACUCCCACACCUGCCCCGCACAGCCCCCGCCUGGAACAGCAGAGCCAAACCGGACAAGCCGAGGGGACCACGAGGGGACCACGUGCAGUCACUCCCCCGGAGGGGCUCAGAGCUGCGGGAGGCCAGGCAGUGACCGCAGCCCGAGAAGGGCUGAGAUGGACAGCGGAGGCGAGCACUGACCCCAGGCCCAGGCCGCGGGAGGCUGCCGGCCACUUCCCCGGGACGCCCCUCCCCAGGCGCAGGCUCGGCGGGGCGGGCUCCCGCCUCCCGGGGUGCCAGGUGGGCUCGCCCCACCCAGGGCCCCGAGGAGGGCACCGCACCUGCGCCGGCCCUCAGGCAGGCCCUGGUCCAGUCGGUGGUCAGCAGGACCUGGCUGGGCGCCGGGCGAGAGGCGGCCGCACGCCGGCCUGGGCUCUGGGGGACCCGGCCCGGCCGGCCCCGUGCAGCGGCGCUGGGCCCCGCACGCGAGCGUGGGCGCCCACCCUGGGCCAAGGGACCGCGCCCCCGCACCACGCGCCCCCGCGCGCCAGUGCCCACUCGCUCCCGGCGUGCUUGCGCGCGCUCACGUGUGUCCGCACGCACGCGCGCGCGGUCUCGCGACCAGGCCAGCCGCGGGACCCAGGGCCGGCCCGCCACCACCCCUCAGGCUCCUUGUCCGGGUCCCCGCGGGCGCCGUCCGGCCGGCUGCGGGGGUCGCGCAGUCCCCACGCCCGGCCCAGGCCGUCGCUCCACGGGGAGCGAACGCGCGGCGAGCUCGCGGUCGCGGCGUUUGGGCCUCGCCGGCCGCCGUCCGCCCGCUUCCGGCCGCGGGACACGCCGGGACGCGUAGUCCGCGGGGCCUGGGCAGCGCCCAGGGUCACGGACCCGGCCGGGCUGGGCGCUCCCAGCGGCGGGGUGGGCGUCCCGUGCUGUGUGGGUGCCGGGCGCCGGUCCCCGCACCGCCCCUCGGGCUGGGGGCGCACGGACGCACCCGAGAGCCGCGGAGUGGGUGAGAUGCUGCGGCGGGGUUCGCGGCGGGAGGCCCGGGGCGUGGCCCGAGGGGCGUGGCCCGAGGGGCGGGAGGGCGUGGCCCGAGGGGCGGAAGGGCGUGGCUCUAGGGGGCGGGGCUGGAGGGCGUGUCCCGAGGGGGCGGGUCUGAGUCGCAGGGCAAGUGAAGGCUGUGGAGGUCUCGAGUGGGCGUGGCGUGAUGGGGGCGUGGUCCAAUGGGGCGGGGCGGGGGCUGGGCAGGUGGCCGCAGGGGUGGUCCCGGGAUGGGGCCUCGAGUGGGCGUGGUGCGGCGGGGGCGUGGUCCCGUUGGGGGCGUGGCAGGGGCGAGGCCGCGCCGGUGGCGGGGCGGGGUCCUGGGCAGGUGGCCUCCGCCCAGGUCUGGGAGCGCCCACCUGUUGGGGUGACCCGGAUGGCUGCCCUGAGUGUCGCGCCUCCCCCUGGACGCUGGGGCCCUCCGGGGCGCAGACUCGUCUGGCUCCACGCUGCCCCACUGUGUGGGCAGUGGCCGCGCGGACUUGGACGCCACCUUCCGAGGAAGGGCUCCGAGUCCCGGUCCCCGUGUCUGCAGCGCGUGGGACUCCUGUGGCUGGGCAGGCCUCGCUGGACAGCGCAGGGAGUAGACGUGGCUGUGGGCCCGGCCGGUGCCGCUCCUCCCCUCCCCAUCCUGCCGGCCCAGCUGGCCCCAGGUCACCUGUCCCUGGCUCACCUCCCUGCUGCUGUCCCCCGGUGUUUCCUGGCAGGACUGUGAGAGGCUGGUACACCUGGGGGCCUUCCUGGCAGCCGGGCCAGCACCUCCCCCUGCAGUGGGCCCCGGGCUCUGACUGGGCUCUGUUCCCCAGGGCGGCCUGUUUGGAGGAGGGGGCUGGGCAAGGGGCACCAUCAUGAGUGUCAGCUCUGCCCCCCACGGCAGGGAAGGGGGUGGCGCGUGCGUGGAGGUGGCUGGCGUCUGCCUCACCUGAGCCACAACAGGACGGGGCCCGGCUGUCGUGCAGAGGUAGCCACCGCGGCCACCAUGCGGCCUUGUGCGGCUGCCCCCGGGCUCGGGUGUCCGGGGGCACCAAAGGCUCGGCCGUUCUCCCCCAUCCUGUGGCCUGGCCCUGCUGCCAGCUUCCGCCUGUCCAGGCUGUGACCAGCCUCUGCAGCCGUGUCCGGCCCGCCCUCUUCCCUCAGCCGGCUCAGCCUGGCCGUGUGCCUCCGGGGGGGCCCCCAGGGCUCCCUGUGACGCCUCCCUCGGACGCUUCUGCUGGGCCAGUCCUCUCGGCCAGGCCUGGGCACUGAGCAGCCCUCGCCUUCCUUCCAGGCCGUGCCAGUGGCCGAAGGCCGGUCCCUCCUGGCUUCCUCUCUCCUGCCAGGAACACGUCCCAGCGUCCCCUGGGUGUCGGGGGCACAGGUGGAGGAAGCGGGGUGCCCCUGGGCUGCUGUCAGGAAGCACGGGGGGGACAGAGGCCUCUGAGAGGGGAGGGGACACUCUGUGCAGCCCGGACGGGGAGCCUGGAGGGAGGCUGCCAUGGGGGAGUCUGGGGUAGACCCUGGGGUGGACACUGCGUGCCUCCUUCCGCCUGCAGAGGGGAUGUGGGUACUGGGUGGGCUUGGCGAUGCUGAGUGGACGCAAGGCUGUGUGCUACAGCUCGCGUUUUCAGUUUGAGAGGCAGAGAGAGAAGGAGGGGGGAGAGGGAGUGAGCAAGGCAGAGGUGUGGUGUGGAGUAGUGAGU